UGCGUAGGUGGUUUGUUAAGUUUCAAAGUAAAUGUUAAACAUAGGGUUUAAAGGCUUUUUAAUACUAACAGACUAGAGUUUAUUAGAAGAUGCUGAACAUUAAGUGUAAAGGUGAAAUUUUUCGAUAUUUAAAGGACAUGCAAUAGGCGAAGGCUGCUAUCUAUUUUAAUACUGACACUGAGGCACAAAAGCAUAGGGAUCAAACA
rnacentral:rRNA from 1 species